rnacentral:rRNA from 1 species
AUUGAACGCUAGCGGGAUGCCUUACACAUGCAAGUCGAACGGAGUGGCGAACGGGGAAGUAAUGUAUCGGAACGUGCCCCGUCGCGGGGGAUAACUACACGAAAGCGAAGCUAUACCCGCAUCCUAUUGGAGCGGGCGAUAUCGGAUUAGCUAGUGGGUGGGGUAACGGCUCACCAAGGCGACGAUCCGUAGCUGGUUUGAGAGGACGACCAGCCACACUGGGACUGAGACACGGCCCAGACUCCUACGGGAGGCAGCAGUGGGGAAUUUUGGACAAUGGGGGAAACCCUGAUCCAGCCAUCCCGCGUGGGCGAUGAAGGCCUUCGGGUUGUAAAGCACUUUUGGCAGGAAAGCGGUACCUGCAGAAUAAGCACCGGCUAACUACGUGCCAGCAGCCGCGGUAAUUC